CCAUAGAGAGAGAGAGGACAGUGCCUCUGAGAGCGAGAAGAAUAGACCAAAGCAGUUAUGGCUUUUAGCAUAUUUACUAUUUUAAGACUCAUCCUGGGCCUCUUUUUCGCCGUUACCGGGGCAGUAAAACUGACUGAUCAGAUAUCUGCUGAUGUUUACAAACAGAUGGCCCUAUGAACCACAGUCAGUUGACCAAGGGAGAUAACCGAGCACAAGUUGGCACUGUUCCACCUUUUUCUUUUUCACCAAUGAAUCGCACCAAUGUUCCAUCGUGAUGAACUGCAGCCAAGUCUAGGAUGAGGCAACAGAAGUGUGCUUAUAAAAGAGAAGUCGGGCCACCAUCUGAUCAGAGUUUUGUAAGAUCUCAUCUGAAGUAUGUGCAUCUGGAGGGCAUCUGCACUUUAGAUCCAUGCACCCACCUGAGUUACCAAAGAAAACCAAAGCACUACUGUUUUUCAAAUAAAGUUUAGCUCAUAUGAACAACAA